GAAAAUACUGUCACUCCAUGCGAUUCUUCCUCGACAUUAGUCUGAAAUAAGUGCAAUAAGUGCCUUUGGCGAUCCAGAUUCGCUAAAUCUGUUGUAAUUGUAAUUGUAAUUAUAAUUGAUAGCUAUUCUUAUUCAUUUCCUUAAACAUAUUAUUGAUGCAGCUGAAAAACUGCACGAUAUUAGGUGG
rnacentral:sRNA from 1 species